rnacentral:misc_RNA from 1 species
GCAAGAAAGAGAAGGGAAAAAAGAGAUAAAUAAGGUGGAAGGGUGAGUGAUACUGUAUAUAGGGGUAAAAUGGUCCAUUUCAAUUUUCCAACAGGUAAAUGUGAUUAGAUGCACUUAAUUAAAACAAAUUUUAAAAAAAUUUCUCUGUUUAGAAACUUGAUUGAUAGGGAAAAAAAAGUUUAGACGCUCAAAUUUUGGAAAGUUCAGAUGCCAUUGAUAUAUUUAUCCCUUAAUUUUUAAAUAGGGUCAAAAUAUGAAUUUCUCUGAAUAUUUAUAUAUAAUUUAUACAAGGUAAAUCCGCCCCUGCUUAGCAUUCUCUUGUUUGUAUUUAAUCUUAAAGACUAGUAAACUAUCAUAAUUUUGAGAUAUAAACACUAUUUAAUCCCAAGGAUACAUUGGGAAAGCCUUCAUUAAGCCUUUCUAAUGGAUUGAAGAUACUUGACUAUCACUAUU